UACGGAGGGAGCAAACGUUGUUCGGAUUUACUGGGCGUAAAGGGUGUGUAGGCGGUCUUGCAAGUCAGGGGUGAAAUCUCUCGGCUCAACCGAGAAACUGCCUUUGAGACUGCAGGACUUGAGGGCGUGAGAGGAGACUGGAAUUCCUAGUGUAGCGGUGAAAUGCGCAGAUAUCAGGAGGAACACCGGUGGCGAAGGCGGAUCUCUGGGCCAUUACUGACGCUGAGGAGCGAAAGCGUGGGGAGCGAACAGG
rnacentral:rRNA from 1 species